rfam:Citrus clementina cultivar Clemenules unplaced genomic scaffold scaffold_2, whole genome shotgun sequence.
UACCGAUGAUGUGGACACUUCAAGAGUAGCUCAUUGAAUCACUCCCAUGUUUCGAAAAUAUGCUCGUCUUCUCUCUGGGUAAACUUUGAAAUUUCUCUGCAA